GCUGGUCCCAGACCACACAUGAGGUUGCGGUAGCGCAUGGAUAAAGGCAUUAGAUUCGCUGGAGACUCGCUGGUCACUAGAGAGCUGGAAGGCUUUUACUGGUUCAAUUCUGCUGUAGCUGCCACUGACUGCUCAUCAAUGUGAGAAGCUUUCCAGAUCAGUUAAAAUCAGGUAUUCCCCAAACGCCUUCCUUUCCCCCUCGGAGUGUAUGAGGAAUAAAACAGAUUCCAACGAUCUUACCCCAGCUAACUCUCCCCAUUACAUUGGACCAACUUUGCUUUCCCAUUCUGCCUCUCAAGGCUCAUCUGAGCAUUUCAUAUACUUUAAUUGGCCCUUAGUUGAAAAGCUUUUGAUGGAUUCACAGUGCAGAAUCUGGUGGGGCACUAUCCUUGAUGUUUUCCACAGUGUCCUAGGUAAAUCUAAAAGUGAAAACUCCUGAGAACCCAGGGAAUUGUCUUUAAGAAUAGAAUGAGUUCACUUUAAUAAUCAAAUUUCUUUUCUAUUUUGAUCCUCAUAAUUGUGAAAGUCAUAUUGAGAGCUGCACUGUCUGGCUCCCUCCAUUUUGUGCAAUUAUUAAAUGUUUAUUAUAAUUUCCACAGUCUUAUCUCCCACGUAUCUAGCUAUUUUAUGCAUUUAAGAAUAGCCUCACUAAUUUCUUUCCUAAGAAUGGCUGAUAUCCCUCAUGGACUAAUGGCCAUAUGUGAAAAUCAAAUGCCCAUCAAAACUAGCAUUCUUUAAGCUUUCUGAUCUCUAUGCCUUCCUUUCUGACUUAUUGUUAAAAUCGGCAAUGUCCUUAUCUCACUUUAAUCUCAUCAAUGAAAACAUUUUGCUCUCUGUAUUCCAGUUAUCAAGAUUCUAUGCUUCUUUCAAUAGUGUCCUCAAAUAGUGACAUCGUCAUCAUUUAUUCACUUUACAUCCCAAUCACAGCCCCCUCCCUCCUCCUGUCCCAGGGCCACCCUUACAAAUCCUUCCCACCAUUGCCCCUCCCCUUCCUCAGAGAAGGGGAGUACUUUCUCCACAGCAUUUUCCUAACCCACCUUAUGUUGAUGCAACUUGUAGAAGAUUCACCUUGAAGCCACAGGAAACAUCGAUGAGAUGGGCUGACAGUUGCUACACUAACUGCUACUGUGACUUAGGCACCAUCUUCAUUGUGGCAACUUGUAGAGAAAUUAAGAUCCUCUCUCUCUCUCUCUCUCUCUCUCUCUCUCUCUCUCUCUCUCUCUCUCUCUCUCUCUCCCUACUUCUCAUGAGGAGACUUUUGCCUGAAGUUCUCCCUCCCACUAUUACUGGCCAGAGGUGGUUGCAUAACUGCUCACAAAUUACGCAUAUGAGAAAAUAACAACAUUCCCAAUAUUGAUUAAGAUAAUCAGCUUAAACUCCCCAAAGCUGGACCUGACAUUGUUCCCAUGAAGCCUAUUAUCAUGUGGUGAAUGGUGGGAUCUAAAAUAAAGUCUGAGGUCUCUUAGAACGGGAAAUAGAGAGGAAUUUUAGUUUGACUAAUCAAUGUUUAUUCUAAUUAUUAUCUCUCUCCCAUACCGCCUAUAGUGUUUUGGAAAUAUUUCCAGUUGAGCAGCAUUCUUGUGGUAUUAUGUUUCUACAUAUUUACCUCUCGCCUAUCUCCCUCUAGCUUCAAGAUGACCAAAUGGCCCACUCAAUAGCUAUAAGGACGAGAGCUAUACUGGACACAUCAGACAAAAAAAUAUCUUUAGUUACGUUCCUUGUUUCCCCCUGGAUAGUGUGGAUAUAAAAACUGUGUCUCGAGCUUGUUUCCAUAGCAGAUACUACUGUGAAGCUUCACACUCGCCUUGUGUCCUUGGCCCCUGUUAAUUCUGCGCACUGGCCCACACCUGUGAAGAUGAUGCGAGCCAAGGCCCUGUAAGUCCUCCGAGUACGGAUGAAUCCUCCAUUCAUUCUGCUUUCCACUCGGAGAAUGACGGACAGAGGUGAGCUCAAACGGAGUCUCGAAGGACAAAGCUUUUCUCUGUGAAAAGGUAACUGGUUCACACCUGCAUCCUGCUUGGAGCCCAGGCCUCAUUAGCACCAUUUUCUAAUCCUGCAGAGAGCUCCCAGCCAGCCCUCCAUGAGCAGGGAGAACAGCGGGUUCUCUGUGCCCUACAGUGGCCAUGUUUGCCUGGAGGAGCCAGGGAACAUCUGGUGAGAUUCUGCACCAUAGGGUGGCUGCAAAACAUUGGAUGUUUGAAUAAACGAACCCCGCAACCGCACCACAGAACACUGGAAGAGAGGGGACUCCUCACUCAAAGCUGCUUUCUCCCUCCCUGCUACAGUCUGAGCAGCAGUUAAACUUCAAAUAACCUCUGUGGUUCCUUCCCUCCUAGGGCAUGAACACAAUCAGAGGACAAGUAGACGGGUGUUUCCAGGAGCCAAUGAAAUAUUUUAUUUAUUUCAAUGGGAAAUCAAGCCAGCUGGCUCUUACAUGAAGCUAUCCCCUGGAAUUCACAAAUGCCACUUUCUUCUCCAUCGUGGAAGAAAAGAUACGUUGUAGUUUGGAACAAAGGUGACCCAAUAUUAUCUGGAUCGUGACAAGCCAUGAGGAAAGGGUGGCCAAAAACAAGAGCCCACCAUCUUGGUUGAGAAGGUUGAUGCGAAGCCAAACCCACUGGCUAGAGGGCGGAGACACUCCAGAUGAAGUGAUACCAGCAAGUGAUAGGAGGCACACUGAAGGGGGAAAACCUCCCCCAAACAGGCAUGGCUCAAUGUCCAUGUGCCUGACCAUGGGAAGACAGAGUCUGGAAGCGUGAGUAUUAGGCUGCAGGACUUCUUAGACUCCUUCCAGCUUCUGCCCGGUUCUUUAUACACCAAGGGAUUGAACCUGAGGAACAGUGCCACAGUAGGAAUACUGACUGGAGUGGGGCCUCAGGAGAAGGGGUUGGGAAAUCUCCAGAGCCCUGCAGUCUGCAUCAUUUGCUCAGGAAUCAGAAUGCAUCUGCUAUGGUAUCUGUGCUGCUUCUCGUUUUAAGACUCAUUUUUCCUGUUAAUUUAUUUUCCAAUGAUCUAAAAUGGCAGCCUCAGAGACUCUCACAGCUUCUGGUUUAGAUCCCCAAAGCUGAGAAAGGAUUUAGUUAUUGUGAAAGCUGGCCUCUGCUCCAUGGUGUAUCAAUUGCUGAUGCAGCCAUCCCUUCAGGGAUAUUUUUGAGAAGUGGUGUUAGCUAAGGGCAUGCACCAUUGAGUAUUGCUCUUUCCUGUGUGGGGCAGGCAAUGGAGGCCAGCUUACUCACCAUCCCCUCGAAAUCUUGUAGUUACUGCUAUACCUCUAGCCUUGCUGUCCUUGGAGAGUCUACAUAUUUAUUAUCUAACUCUAACUUCCUCAGGUUUUGAGGGGGGCAUGUUUGGGUGUGGUGUGUAUGGAUGUGGUGUGGUGGAUGUUUGUAGAUGUUUGUAUUUAUAUGUGUGUAUAUGUCUAUGUGUAUAUAUGUUUGGGUGUAUGAAUAUGUAUGUUUAUGUCUAUGUGUAUAUAUGUUUGGGUGUAUGAAUAUGUAUGUGUAUGUGUAAAAGUAUGUACAUUUCAGGCAAUAGUCUACUAUUUAUCCAGAAAAGAACUAUCAAAUGAAUAAAUAUUAUUCAAAU